GCAGGCGUGGCGGAACUGGCAGACGCGCAAGACUUAGGAUCUUGUGAGCGAUCGCUCUUGUGGGUUCGAGUCCCACCGCCUGCACCA
rnacentral:tRNA from 1 species